rnacentral:misc_RNA from 1 species
GAUGAAGAACGUAGCGAAAUGCGAUAAGUAAUGUGAAUUGCAGAAUUCAGUGAAUCAUCGAAUCUUUGAACGCACUUUGCGCCCGCCAGUAUUCUGGCGGGCAUGCCUGUUCGAGCGUCAUUUCAACCAUCAAGCCCCCGGCUUGUGUUGGGGACCUGCGGCUGCCGCAGGCCCUGAAAACCAGUGGCGGGCUCGCUAGUCACUCCGAGCGUAGUAAUACAUCUCGCUCAGGGCGUGCUGCGGGUUCCGGCCGUUAAAAAAGCCUUAUUUACCCAAGGUUGACCUCGGAUCAGGUAGGAAGACCCGCUGAACUUAAGCAUAUCAAUAAGCGGAGGA